GUAGGUGGCGAGCGUUGUCCGGAUUUACUGGGCGUAAAGAGCGCGCAGGCGGUCGUACAAGUCGCGUGUGAAAGCCCCCGGCUCAACUGGGGAGGGUCACGCGAUACUGUUCGACUCGAAGGCAGGAGAGGGAAGUGGAAUUCCCGGUGUAGUGGUGAAAUGCGUAGAUAUCGGGAGGAACACCAGUGGCGAAGGCGACUUCCUGGCCUGUUCUUGACGCUGAGGCGCGAAAGCUAGGGUAGCAAACGGGAUUAGAUACCCCGGUAGUCCUAGCCGUAAACGAUGGACACUAGGUGUUGGUGGUAUCAACCCCGCCAGUGCCGAAGCUAACGCAUUAAGUGUCCCGCCUGGGGAGUACGGCCGCAAGGCUA
rnacentral:rRNA from 1 species